UGAUUGAGUCUCGCUCUGUUGCCCAGGCUGGAGUGCAGUGGUGCAAUCUCUGCUCACUGCAACCUCCGUCUCCCGAGAUUAAGCAGUUCUCCUGCCUCAGCCUCCUGAGUAGCUGGGAUUACAGAAGACAAAAAUACUAAUGCAUUUGAGAAAGCGGUAGUUUUGGGGGGAGGGGUAAAAAGCAACUGCUUUCCUGAUCUGCAACUUGGCUGGAUGCUAAGAUGUCAGUGGACAUGAAUAGCCAGGGGUCUGACAGCAAUGAAGAGGACUAUGACCCAAAUUGUGAGGAAGAGGAAGAAGAAGAAGAUGAAGACCCUGGGGACAUAGAGGACUAUUACGUGGGAGUAGCCAGCGAUGUGGAGCAGCAGGGGGCUGAUGCCUUUGAUCCCGAGGAGUACCAGUUCACUUGCUUGACCUACAAGGAAUCUGAGGGUGCCCUCAAUGAGCACAUGACCAGCUUAGCUUCUGUCCUAAAGGCCGUUGAUGCUCACUGCCAUCAGCUGCAUCCUCCCUAUGGCACUG
rnacentral:sRNA from 1 species